rnacentral:ncRNA from 1 species
GAGUAGCCGUGUGCGCUGAAAGGCGCAAGCACGGUUUCGGAAGGGAGGGGCAGAGCAGUAAUGUUCUCCUCGACCCCUAAC